UACGGACGGGGCGAGCGUUGUUCGGAAUCAUUGGGCGUAAAGGGCGCGUAGGUGGUCUUGUAUGUCUACCGUGAAAGCGUACGGCUCAACCGUAUUUUGUCGGUAGAAACUGCAGGACUUGAGGCUGGGAGGGGCUGGUGGAAUUCCCUGUGUAGCGGUGAAAUGCGUAGAGAUGGGGGAGAACACUCGUGGCGAAGGCGGCCAGCUAGACCAGUUCUGACACUGAGGCGCGACAGCGUGGGGAGCAAACAGG
rnacentral:rRNA from 1 species